CCUACGGGAGGCAGCAGUGAGGAAUAUUGGUCAAUGGACGAGAGUCUGAACCAGCCAAGUAGCGUGAAGGAUGACUGCCCUAUGGGUUGUAAACUUCUUUUAUAUGGGAAUAAAAUGUUCCACGUGUGGGAUUUUGUAUGUACCAUAUGAAUAAGGAUAGGCUAACUCCGUGCCAGCAGCCGCGGUAAUACGGAGGAUCCGAGCGUUACCCGGAUUUAUUGGGUUUAAAGGGAGCGUAGGGGGAUGGUUAAGUCAGUUGUGAAAGUUUGCGGCUCAACCGUAAAAUUGCAGUUGAAACUGGCAGUCUUGAGUACAGUAGAGGUGGGCGGAAUUCGUGGUGUAGCGGUGAAAUGCUUAGAUAUCACGAAGAACUCCGAUUGCGAAGGCAGUUCACUGGACUGCAACUGACGCUGAGGCUCGAAAGUGUGGGUAUCAAACAGGAUUAGAUACCCGUGUAGUC
rnacentral:rRNA from 1 species